rnacentral:rRNA from 1 species
UGGGGAAUUUUGGACGAAUUGGGCGAAAGCCUGAAUCCAGCAAUGCCGCGUGUGUGAAGAAGGCCUUCGGGUUGUAAAGCACUUUUGUCCGGAAAGAAAUCCUUGGCUCUAAUACAGUCGGGGGAUGACGGUACCGGAAGAAUAAGCACCGGCUAACUACGUGCCAGCAGCCGCGGUAAUACGUAGGGUGCAAGCGUUAAUCGGAAUUACUGGGCGUAAAGCGUGCGCAGGCGGUUUGCUAAGACCGAUGUGAAAUCCCCGGGCUCAACCUGGGAACUGCAUUGGUGACUGGCAGGCUAGAGUAUGGCAGAGGGGGGUUAAAAUUCCACGUGUAGCAGUGAAAUGCGUAGAGAUGUGGAGGAAUACCGAUGGCGAAGGCAGCCCCCUUGGGCCCAAUACUGACGCUCAUGCACG